rnacentral:lncRNA from 1 species
GGGUGACAUAACUUAGAUUGGUGCAAAAAACAUCACACAAAAAUUUGUUGCCACAUGAGAAAGAAGGCUGGUCGGCGGCUAGGUAGAGUCCCACAAAACUUGGACUCUUGAUUUAAGCUUGAUUUCAAACCAAUUCGAAGUCAAACUUGAACCAACCAAAUCAUGAUCCAAAGAGAAUCAGAAGAAGAAAUCACACACCUUCUAGGUGCAAAAAAUUACAUGUGAAAAUCAAUUUUACGUGUAG